UUCCCUGCGGUGUUCGAGAUAAGGUGAAUUGCCCUUGGACCUAAUCACCUACUCGGGAAGAAGGAUCAUUUACUGGUGUGCAUGCUCUUAUAGAGAAGCCUGAUGUCAAUGUCUGACUCCCACUUAAACCAUUUGGUUUAAGGUAGAAACCUGAAGACGACACUAGCGGGGA
rnacentral:other from 1 species